rnacentral:rRNA from 1 species
AUGCAUGUAUCAGUCUCCAAUUUGUCACUCAUGAUUAUCCAUAUCCAAAACCAGAUGGAGUUGUACACAGCAGAACAGAGUGGACGAAAGGCUCACUCUAUCUACGAGCUAGCUAAUUGGCCAAGCCGGAUCCCAGAAUUGGGUCUGAAACUCCAAUUGUUGCUGGAAUUUUUUACUAUCUACUUUAUCUUGCUAUGGCAUGUCGACGUUGGUUGGUUUGUCUACUGGUGGUUGUCGCCGGAGCGGUCGCCGGCCAUGGACACAGCGGAGAGCCGGCUCGGCCGGGGGCGGGACCCGCCCACGCGCCUCCGGUGCUGCAGCGACUGCUGCGCCGCGGGGGACGGCGCGAGCGCCCUGCGUGCCCAGUGCCCGCUCUCCAUGGGGACGAGCCGCACCAGCGCGCUGCCCGUCUGCUUCGAGCCGGCGCUGCCGAUGGACGGCGGGGAGCCGGGCUUGCUGUUGUUGCAAGAUGGAGCCGCCUGCUUGCGCUCCUCCUUGUGGAGGCCGCACCGGAACGAGCCCGGGUGGUUCGUCGGGGAGCACAUGCAGGACCGACGGCUCUUGCUGGCGGCGGCGCCGGCAGGGGCAGAGGAGGAGGACGAGACGCUGACGGACUUGCCCGGCGAGCGUGUGGCGCCACCGGCGGGGAGCUUGACGCGGGUGGGCGAGGCGGAGCGGUAG